rnacentral:lncRNA from 1 species
AUAUAUAUAAACAUACUUUAAAACACAGAUGGGGAUGAAAAUAAGUAAGAGAUGGGGAUGAAAAUAAGUAAGGUGUGAUAAAAUUCAUCAAAGAUCAUCAGAAGUUCAAAGCUAUGCAGUCGUCAGUCGGGUGUCUCGCGGGAGCAGGAGACGGGCACUCUCCCGCGGAGAGUGCAAUGCGGACGGUCAUUGCCUUUCCAACCCAUACGGAACCAAACCAUUAAUCUCAUUGCCUUUCCAACCCGUAUUAUAUAAUCCAUUAUGUCGCGAGGAGCAGGAGAGUGUAAUGCGGACGGUCAUUGCCUUUCCAACCCGUACGGAACCAAACCAUUAAUCCCAUUGCCUUUCCAACCAGUAUUAC